rnacentral:rRNA from 1 species
UACGUAGGUGGCAAGCGUUGUCCGGAUUUACUGGGCGUAAAGAGCGCGCAGGCGGUCGUUCAAGUCGCGUGUGAAAGCCCCCGGCUCAACUGGGAGGGUCACGCGAUACUGAUCGACUCGAAGGCAGGAGAGGGUAGUGGAAUUCCCGGUGUAGUGGGUGAAAUGCGUAGAUAUCGGGAGGAACACCAGUGGCGAAGGCGACUACCUGGC